UACAGAGGGGGCAAGCGUUAUUCGGAAUUAUUGGGCGUAAAGGGCGCGUAGGCGGCUUUGCAAGUGACGGGUGAAAUCCCUCGGCUUAACCGAGGAACUGCCUGUCAGACUGCAUGGCUUGAGACCGGGAGAGGCGAGUGGAAUUCCCGGUGUAGCGGUGAAAUGCGCAGAUAUCGGGAGGAACACCAAUGGCGAAGGCAGCUCGCUGGGACGGUACUGACGCUGAGACGCGAAAGCGUGGGGAGCAAACAGG
rnacentral:rRNA from 1 species